rnacentral:rRNA from 1 species
GUACCUUCAGACCAGAUAGUUAUUCGCUAUCUAGCUUUAUUCCCUACUGACAGAGCUUUACAACCACUAGGGCCUUCAUCGCUCACGCGGCGUCGCUCGGUCAGGCUUUCGCCCAUUGCCGAAGCUUCUC